CUGGUGCUUGAGGAAAGUCAAUUCAUCUAGCAGAGACAAAAAGGAGGAAGGGACCACAUGCCCUUUGGCUAAGUAGAGGCUGGAUGGAGGAGCAUCAGUGAACAGAAGACAGAGGCCGGCUGUGUUUCCAAUUACAUCUCAGGAGGAAGCCGGAGACUCUAGAACACUGACUACAAGAACCUUGAAAGGACCUUUAUACAGCCAAUUGGACCAGCAUUGUGUAUGUGAACCUGGACAGCAAUUCAGCUCAUACAUUGGACAGCAACCUAUGCGAUGGCCUCUUAGGAAACAUCUUCUGGUCCACUCAUCUCAUCUUGGAAAUCUGAAAUCAGACAUGCUGAGAAAAGGAGGUGGGCAGAAAUGGAGGCAGAAGUUAAAAGUGAAGACAGAGAAAAGCUCGGUAUAGAAGAGGCCAUGAGGGCUAAAGCAAAUCAGAGUUACAAGGAAGUAGAAACACACAUCAGCAGAAACCAAGAUAGACAAGAGGUCUUCAGCGUGCCGGGGAAAGGAUAAGGCCCUGAGUGGUGGGAUUCGGGUGGAUUAGAGCAGACAUAUGAAGCCAUGGCAGUGGCUGAGCACCAUGGGGAAGAUCCCUGAAUCCUGCUUGUUCUGGAGUUCUCACUUCCUGAGACCUGCUCUGCCUGGAGCCACGCCUGUCGUAGGAUCCUGAGCACAUGUAUCCUCACAAUAAGACAGCUGUUAUUUGAAAUAUCUCACGUGGAUCUCUUUUUCUUGCAAAUAAAUUCCCAAAAAAAGUGCA
rnacentral:lncRNA from 1 species